rnacentral:lncRNA from 1 species
UUUCACUUAUGAAUACUUUAAUUCCAAGUUAGCCCUUAGAAUUUUAAAAGUUAAAAUUCAACCCUUAUACUUUAUAAUAUUAUAAGUUAAUAAUAUAUAUAUGUAUAAGAGUAAAGUCAGUCUUACCGCUAGUACGCCUCAUUCACGAAGCCGGUCUAUAAGGUGGGUAUAAGGUUGUUGCCUAUAAAAUGGCAACUUAAUGGGUGUCCACUCUCACCCACCGCUUGCUUGACUGGUGGAGGGUCGUUAGCCGAACGGGUUUGACAGGACUAGAAUUCUCCCUUCAUUAAAAGUAUUAAUGAUAAUACUAAGUAACUAAACUCUUAAUAAUACCCAAUCUUAGUUACUUAGGAAAAAUGUGAAUAAGGUGCUAAUCCAUGAAAUUACACUUUACACUUUGUCUAAGUCGUUAGUGGAGCGUGUGUGGUUAACCGGCACACUAACUUGGACUUAACAAGGUAGGUAAAGGGUGACUUAAUAUUUAUCAUAGUAUCGAUGGAGCGUGUGUGGUUAACCGGCACAUCGAUUGAGGGGUAAUUUAUUAAGGGUACCAAGUGAUUUGCAUGGUUACUUCACACCUUGUUUUGUGAUCCUCGGCAUCCCAGUCACAAAACCUGAAGGGCACACUCGAGAUUGAAACAUGCCUUUGAACAGUUCAAUGAAUCUCAAAGAUCUAGGAGUUUCAAAACCAAUUAAAACCUAAUAAUACAUUUCGUUUAUCUUGGUGGAAAUUGGUGAAUCGUCAUUCACCUACCUUCAAAUAUUUUAUAGCUUGGAUUACGGCAUACCUCUUCUAAGUUAUAAAAUAGUUUGUUGGGUCCUAGCCUUAAUAUUUCAUAUUGGGUGUCAUAUUAACGACUUUAGAUCAACUAUCUUGAAUAUCUCCCAAAAGAUGUCUGGUUUAGACAGUUAUGAUCUUCCCAAAUCUAUUGAAACAAGCUUUCCUAAAUGAAGAUGAUGUCCCAUGGAAAUCAUAGUUCUUUCACCUCCUCCAAUUAUUCUCCCUAACNUUCUCCUCCUCCAACUAUUCUCCCUAACCCACAAGUUCUUGAAAAGUUUAAGGUCACUCAAGCCCUAUUGGCAAGGCAAGGUCUAGGUGUGGUCACAUCUUGGAAAUGUAGUCACAUAUGGACAAGCCGGGAGAGUUGGGUGUCAAAGUGUUGAGAAAGUUGGUGCCUCAACUACUUUCUAUGUCUCAUAGUGAGUUACUUUGGGACUCCUAUGAAACAGACUAUGACAAGACCCUUAAUGAGCUUAUCUAUUUGCUAAGAUCAACUUCCUAAAAGUUUAUGGACAUUGAAAAUGGUGACACUGGUAAUCCAGAAAAAACAUUCUCUUCCCAAUAGAAAGGGAUCAGCCGUAGUCAACUCGGUUGACCAAAUGGUCCUAUUUCCAAAAGGAAAGGGCAUUGGUUGCGAAGCUGUCAAUUUUACCUGAAAGAACAUAAGGCUAGUAAAGUCAAAAAGUUUGACUCUAUUUCAGGUAAGUUCCACUAUCUAACUUUGCUAAGUUUCUAUUCUGAGAUUCUUGAUACAUGAUAUGACUGGGUCACAUGGUGAUGUUUUAAGAAUCAAAGAAAAGUGAAGGAACUUAAAGAAAGAAUAUGUUGAAUCUGAUCCCGUCGAUGGAUUUCAAUCGCAUAGUUUGAAGAUCGGAUUAUUGAGCUACUUCUUAGGAGUUAUGAGAUAUUGCUUAGGAAUAGGUAACAACAAGUUUUCAUAUGGAUUGUAAGGAUACGUUUUUCUGCAAAGUUUUAAAAUAAAAGGAAGUUUUUUUAUUUUAUUUAUUUUAUGUAUCCUUACAAUGACGUUUGUGGAAAAUUGUUGCUUAUAAGAUUCCACUGAUAGCAAUAUUGGAAAGUGAAUUUGAUUCUCUCAUUUGUGGUAAUGUCUAAAUUUACCAAAUAAGGAAAGAUUCUCAUCACCCAAGUUUCAAUUGGACCGAAACUUGGAAUCAUGCAAGUUGCAUAGUAUGAUGAAUGAGAACUUUCGAGCAUUGGAAAAAUUAAGACUAACUACUUGUUCACAUGGAUGUGUGACUCAAGAGAAGGACUAAGGGAUCAAGUACACUUUCUUGUGCACUUGAAAAAGUCCACCACAAAAGAUGGAUAAGACUAUACGUCAUGAUUUACUAAGGUUUAGUAAAUAUGAUUAUACUUACAAGCUUAAGUAUAAUUCUGAAACAUUGGAAAAGGUUACAAAGUAUGGCAGAGCGAAUAAGAAGAAUCAAAUUAGACAGAAGGAUAAAAGUUUCUCAAAUCUGAAAAGAUGGGAGUGUACUUUAGUAUCAGUUUUUGUGAUCAUCUUAAUGAUUAAGAAACCAUAUCAAAAUUAGUUCUCUAAGGAAAUCUUAGUGCAUUCUUAUGACUAAGAAGAGGAACUUGAAUUGUUGAAAUGGUUAAAUCAAGAAGAUGAGUCAUACUUCGUUCCAAUACAAGUCUUAGAGUCAUACUCCAAGAUUGUAACUUGAGUGACAUGUCUUAAAGAAGGUUUAAAACACUUGUCAAAUGUAAGAGUAAAAGUUUUCUACUCUUGUACAUUUGAAAUUGGUAAGUUGUGAUGUUUUGGAUAAAACAAAGACCAACUUAGGCCAAUUGUGUGAAGUGUUUGUCUUGAUUAGAAUCCACACUAUCUCUUGGAUAUUUGACAAGAGAGUCUUAUAUGUCAAGAGGACAGUGGGAGUCUUAAAGGUCUUGAAAGUCUCAAGAACUAAUCAAGAAUAAAACCUGAAGUUCUUCACUAGCACACGACUUGAGGUUUAUAACCUAUCGUGUUGACAUAUUCUGUGCCCAUUCCAGUUAAAGUUGGCUUUGCAUAUGAGUUCUUAGAGUUCUCAAUUUGUUGCACAACAACUUGGAAGCAAUGGCAGGCCCUUGAGCUGCCAGGUGGCAAGAAAUUAAGAUUGAGUUCAGUCCAUAUGAGUUUGGAUUUGUCAUUAUCCUUGUCUUGUGACUAUGGUUUUGACAAUUCACAUGGAUAAGAACACAUACACCAUUAAAUCUAAGUGUCAUAAGGUUUCUCUCCGAUUCAUGAAAAUGAUGGUGAGGAAACACUUUCACUAAGUAGAUUUUAGCUAGAUAGCAAUUGUGAUAUUUGCAUUCUCAAAGUCGUUAGUGGAGCGCGUGUGGUUAACCGGCACACUAAUUUGGACUUGUGAGAAGUGGCAAAAAGGUCUAAACAUUAUGAUUACGGCAUCCCUCUUCAUAAUUGUUUAGAUACACAAGUGUGCUAUCUAAGGGAAGGUGUAUGAUUUUGAUAAAGACUUAUCAAGGCAAUCUAGUAUCAGAAAUCUGAACUUUGUUAAGAAAGUCAAUAAAGUAUUGAUUUCUAGAAGUUCAGUUGAUUUCUGGGUACUUGUCAAAGCUAGUGGGAGCAUAAGUGUUAUGCUAGUAAUCAUCAUGUUAGUGGGAGCAUGAUAAUUAUGAGAAAGAUUGCAAGUUAGCAAUGUUAAUUAUAGAAAAUAAAAUGUUUCAAUUGGGGAAAAGUUGUUUUGCUAUAUUUAAGGGAGAGGAAAUUAUACUUCAUCUCAAAUCUAUAAGCUUAGAUCGUGAGGUUUUAAUCAUUUAGUCAAGGAUAUAUAUAUGAAUUUCAUGUUGGAAUGGAUCAACAUAAGGAAAUUCUGUAUAUGGGUCCAUUAUUUGCGUUCUAAAAUUCGAUUAUGAUUACGGCAUCCCUUUUCAUAAUCUGAAUUAUGAGAACUUGGCAAAUUGAAAUGGAAAUAUUAUAGCAAAAGACUGGUUUAGUCUUUAUGUAAGACAUCAUGAAUCGUGUCCCAUAUGCUUCGGAUAUAGGAUCGAUUACAUGUGCUAUAUUCAUCCGUUCUAAAAUUUUCCAAAUGCCUGGGGCAUUAAGAAGGGAAAAGGUUUAGAACUGGAUAUGACUAAAAGGAUUAAACAAUUGUCGAGGACAAUCUAAGGUUUACCAAAGAUUGGGUGCUCAAGGACAGUUGGAAGUAUAGUGAUAAUUCUGGAAGGACCAUAUUGACAUAAUCUGUAAGGAGGCAACUCUUGUUCAGAAGUGAUAGUCAAAAUGGAAUCUGGAAAUGUUUCAAAGUUAGAAAUUUUUCAAUCUGUGUAAGAUUAGGAAACUUAAUGCAAGAAGGAUGUUUCCAAGGAGUUGAUCUCCUUUGGAAUGCUCUGUAAUGUUUGUUGUCAAGUCUUUGUGACUUUGUGCAUAAUCAUUACAAGAGGAUCAAUGCAUAUAAGUUUAGAAUCUAACAGAUUUCAGUAAAUGGCAUGAAUUUGGAAUUCUUGCAUUUGCAGUAAGGAUUUGGGAGUGUGAAAAGAGAAUCAUUGAAGUUAUGUUCAAUUGAUCUAGUUCACAAAGUAAAGAUCAUAGACAAACAUAGUAUGCAUACUUGGUGUAUGGCAUGACUAGUGUUUAGAAAACAUAGUGUACAUGCUUGGAGCAUGGGACAACUAUUGUUUUUAAUUCAAGAAUAAAGUUGAUAGCUGAAACAGUAUAUAAUGAAUAAUGUGUAAUCAUAUGGUGAUAAAUAAAAGGUGUUUUAUUUAUAUUCAUAAGUUCUGAGACCAUAUUAGAAUCCAUUAUUAUUGUGUUUCAUUUUGCACGUUUUGACUUCCAGAAUAAACUAGGUCAUUGCUAUGGAUGACUAAGUUACUCAAACUAUCCACAAUCGGUCAUAUGUUGGAAGUAGAUAUGAAUCAAGAUUGUCAUGGGUUGGCUUGUAGAGGUCUAAUAUGUUGGACAAAGGGCUACAACACUCAUGAGUGCUCAUAACUUCUGAGUAUUGGGUUCAAACCACGCUCAUUGGAAUCACUUCAUGGAUUUAAUCACGAGUGAUCAUGAGACGAUAAUAUCUUAUAUUCUUCAAACCUAGAUAUAUGAGUUGUUACUAUGAGUUGAUAGUACAUUGAUUGCACGAAAACGCAUUUGGUAACUCGGUGCUAUAAAACGUGCCUUUGUGUAUGAUUCAACAAGUAGUAGAACAAGCCAUAUGAGUCGAAGUUUAUCCAUUCCUUUUACCUUCGGGAUAAAAGCGAUAUCUGUGGGCCCCUCGAUGAUUUGAUGAUGACAAAUGGAAGUGCUCGGCCGGGCCAGGACUGAUUUGAUUUGUUCAAUUAUUUGUUCAAUUAGUCAGUCGUCAUAAAUCGGAAAUCGGGAAACAACAAAUGGACAGAGAGAAUGAUUAUAAUCCAUAUGAUAUCUAGAAUGGAGGAAUAUAUGAUACCUUAUCUAAUGGACUAGCCAUUGACAAAGGUCAGAGUUCAUCUCAGACCUCGACAGAAGCUUUUGAGAGCUACGAUUGCUGAUCGGUUCCUGAAGUCAUACGCAAUAAUAGUUUUAGACUUAUCCAAGUGGGAGACUGUUGGAUUAAUGUCUAAGUCCAUAACUAUAAUUGGUAAGACUUGACCCGACCCGGCAUGGUCCAUUUGGGUUGCAUACCAUCAUGCACUUGGAUAGACUAUAAUGAGAGAAAUAAGACACUUAUGGUUAUUAAUAUAUUAUAAGUUCUAGUAUAUUAAUAAUAAGAAUAAUAAGAUUAUUUAAUUAGUAUUGAUCAAGAAUUAAUCUAGGAUUAAUUAAGUGAUCAAAAGAAGACUAAUUAAAUAUAUGGGUUGAUUAUGUAAAUCAUCCAUACUUAUAUAGUGGGCUAAUGCUCCAUGGGUUAUCUAGUGGGGCUAAAACCCAUAUGAUGCUCCAUGUUGUUUUUGUACCCAUGGAUCAUGGAAAUGAAAGGCCAUGUUAAUAAGGGUUUACAUGGUGUAACCCUAACUAUAUAUGCAUCUCAUUCUUGACAAAAAUCAGCCACUAGAGAGAGUAAGAAAGGGCUAGCCGAUUUUCAUGAAGUGUAGAAUUCUCUCAAGUUAUUCCAAGUGUAUUUGGUGUUGUGUGAACCAUUUGAGGUGUCACACUUGAGGCACUUGGCACUCAAGCUUCAUGAAGACUUUCUACAUGAAAGAGGUAUGUAUUCUAUCUUGUUAUAUUCAUUGUUUUGUAUGCUAGAUUAGGAUAAUACCUUGGAUGUUCAUAUUUGUAUGUAUAAUAGAGAAAACAUAGAUCCAAGGUAUUUAGGGUUGCAUGUACACUUAGGAGUGUUAAAAUGCUCAAAACCCAACAACUAGGGGCCCCGGUACAUUGGUCCGUUCAGGGUGACCACGAGGGUGGGCAGAGUAGCAUACCGUUUGGAGCUACCUGCGGAGUUAAGCCAGAUUCAUGAUACCUUCCACGUGUCUUAGUUGAAGAAGUUUAUAGCCGAUGAGUCGGCGGUGGUGCCAUUGGUAGAUAUUCAAGUGGAUGCGAGGCUGAAUUAUGUUGAGAGGCCANUCGGAAGAUCAAGGUUCUGAGGAACAAGGAGGUGCCCCUGGUUCAAGUCCUGUGGCUACACCGGAGAGGGACUGAGCUGACCUGGGAGCCGAAGUUGGAGAUGCAGGAGCAACAUCCAAAGUUGUUUGCACAGCAAGACUUCGAGGGCGAAGUCUGACUCCAAUGGGGGAGAAUUCUAACAUCCGUAUUUCCAGGUAUUAUGUUUGAUCAUUUAUUUUUUUGAGUAAAAGAGAGGGACUCGACGAGCUGAGGCGUAGACUCGUCAAUGUUUGGACUAUUGAGCCAUUGGAGCGGUAGAAUGGUCUUUUACCCUUCUUAUAGAGUUUAGAGAGGGAUUAGCCUAGUCUUUGAAAGUCGUAUUGAUUAGAGUAAUUAUUUUAUGUGAUUAGGCGGAGGCUAGAUCAGUAUUUCCGAGUUCAAGGGUUACUGAGUUAUCUGAGGUGAGUCUUCUCACUAUACUUUACCUUGAGUGGUAAUUAGAGUUAUGUGACAGAGUAUAUUGUGUGUUAUGUAUGUGAUGUGUUGCACUACAUUAGUUCUAUUUGAUUUAUGUUGUAUGUACUCCAGAGUUUACAAAGUUAGGACGAGAGGGACCACAGAGUUAGGGCCAUAGGGUCCACAGAAUUAGGGUCAGAGGGUCCACAGGUUUGACAGGACUAUAAUUCUCCCUUCAUUAAAAGUAUUAAUGAUAAAUACUAAGUAACUAAACUCUUAAUAAUACCCAAUCUUAGUUACUUAGGAAAAAUGUGAAUAAGGUGCUAAUCCAUGAAAUUACACUUUACACUUUGUCUAAGUCGUUAGUGGAGCGUGUGUGGUUAACCGGCACACUAACUUGGACUUAACAAGGUAGGUAAAGGGUGACUUAAUAUUUAUCAUAGUAUCGAUGGAGCGUGUGUGGUUAACCGGCACAUCGAUUGAGGGGUAAUUUAUUAAGGGUACCAAGUGAUUUGCAUGGUUACUUCACACCUUGUUUUGUGAUCCUCGGCAUCCCAGUCACAAAACCUGAAGGGCACACUCGAGAUUGAAACAUGCCAUUGAAAAGUUCAAUGAAUCUCAAAGAUCUAGGAGUUUCAAAAACCAAUUAAAACCUAAUAAUACAUUUCGUUUAUCUUGGUGGAAAUUGGUGAAUCGUCAUUCACCUACCUUCGAAUAUUUUAUAGCUUG